rnacentral:misc_RNA from 1 species
GGAAGUAGAAGUCGUAACAAGGUUUCCGUAGGUGAACCUGCGGAAGGAUCAUUAUUGUAUAACCGAGGUGCGAGGGCUGUCGCUGACCCGAAAGGUCGUGCACGCCCGAGUGCCCUCACACACAUCCAUCUCACCCCUAUGUGCACCACCGCGUGGGUCCCCCUUUGGCUUGUUCGGAGGGGGGCUUACGUUUUCACACAAACAUUGUAUGCAGUGUAGAAUGUAUUUUUUGUUUUUGCGAUCACGCAAUCAAUACAACUUUCAACAACGGAUCUCUUGGCUCUC